rnacentral:lncRNA from 1 species
CUUCUCCUUCUCCAGUUGCGUCACCUCCUCCUCCUCCUCCCUCUCCUUCGAUCUCCGUCCUCCGGCCACCAAAUUCGGCAAAUGAACACUCUAAAAACAUCUACUCAACGCAAGGAAGAAGAUUAUAGCUUAGAUUUGAACUGAAAUUGCGUCUAUUUUGAAGGGGAAGAGCUUGAAGUUUCGGCCACCGUGGUUACAC